CGAGUCCUGCGAUGUACGUGUCCGCCGGGAUGUUUUGAGCCAACACCCACGAAAAGGGAGUCUGCGUCAUCCAUGCUAGGGGAAGCCACGCAAUGUGAGUGGACCUUCGAACAUGGAUGCAGGACACCCACCUGCGAGAGAGCAGGUUCAAAACAAACGGAGCACGGCAUAACGGGACUCUU
rfam:Thermoactinomyces sp. Gus2-1 c3, whole genome shotgun sequence.